rnacentral:rRNA from 1 species
GGCUCACCAAGGCGACGAUACAUAGCCGACCUGAGAGGGUGAUCGGCCACACUGGGACUGAGACACGGCCCAGACUCCUACGGGAGGCAGCAGUAGGGAAUCUUCGGCAAUGGACGAAAGUCUGACCGAGCAACGCCGCGUGAGUGAAGAAGGUUUUCGGAUCGUAAAGCUCUGUUGUAAGAGAAGAACGAGUGUGAGAGUGGAAAGUUCACACUGUGACGGUAUCUUACCAGAAAGGGACGGCUAACUACGUGCCAGCAGCCGCGGUAAUACGUAGGUCCCGAGCGUUGUCCGGAUUUAUUGGGCGUAAAGCGAGCGCAGGCGGUUAGAUAAGUCUGAAGUUAAAGGCUGUGGCUUAACCAUAGUACGCUUUGGAAACUGUUUAACUUGAGUGCAAGAGGGGAGAGUGGAAUUCCAUGUGUAGCGGUGAAAUGCGUAGAUAUAUGGAGGACACCGGUGGCGAAAG